rnacentral:tRNA from 1 species
ACUGGGUGGCCCAGUGGUAGAGCUCCUGCCUGCCACGCCAGCGGCCGGGGUUCGUAUCCCGGCCAAUG